ACAGGUGACAGGUGCUGCAUGGCUGUCGUCAGCUCGUGUCGUGAGAUGUUGGGUUAAGUCCCGCAACGAGCGCAACCCUUGUCCUUAGUUGCCACCAUUCAGUUGGGCACUCUAAGGAGACUGCCGGUGUUAAACCGGAGGAAGGUGGGGAUGACGUCAAGUCCUCAUGGCCCUUAUAUCCAGGGCUACACACACGCUACAAUGGUCGGCACAAUAGGUUGCCAAGUCGUGAGACGGAGCCAAUCCUCCAAAGCCGGCCUCAGUUCAGAUUGCAGGCUGCAACUCGCCUGCAUGAAGUUGGAGUUGCUAGUAAACGCAGGUCAGCUAUACUGCGUUGAAUACGUUCCCGGGGAUU
rnacentral:rRNA from 1 species